AUUGAACGCUGGCGGCAGGCCUAACACAUGCAAGUCGAGCGGAGCGGCGGACGGGUGCGGAAUGCCUAGGAGUCUGCCUGGUAGCGGUGGAUAUCGUCUGGAAACGGGCGCUAAUACCGCAUACUAUCAGAUGAGCCUAGGUCGGGUUGGCUGGUUGGUGGGUUAAAGGCCUACCAAGGCGACGAUCCGUCACUGGUCUGAGAGGAUGAUCAGUCACACUGGAACUGAGACACGGUCCUGACUCCUACGGGAGGAAGGAGUGGGGAAGAUGGGACAAUGGGCGAAAGCCUGAGCCAGCCAUGCCGCGUGUGUGAAGAAGGUCUUCGGAUUGUAAAGCACUUUAAGUUGGGAGGCGUUACCAACAGAAGAAGCACCGGCUAACUUCGUGCCAGCAGCCGCGGUAAUUC
rnacentral:rRNA from 1 species